rnacentral:rRNA from 1 species
UACGAAGGGUGCAAACGUUGCUCGGAAUCAUUGGGCGUAAAGCGCACGUAGGCGGCUCCAAAAGUCGGAUGUGAAAUCCCUGGGCUCAACCGAGGAAGUGCAUCCGAAACUGCGGAGCUUGAGUAUGGAAGAGGGUCGCGGAAUUCCCGGUGUAGAGGUGAAAUUCGUAGAUAUCGGGAGGAACACCAGUGGCGAAGGCGGCGACCUGGGCCAAUACUGACGCUGAGGUGCGAAAGCGUGGGUAGCGAACAGG